GAUGAGGGUAUAGGGGCUCUGGAGGGGUCACGCAUACAGUCCUUGAUUUGGGCUCACUGACACAUUCCUCUCCUUAAUUUUUCAGCAGACUAGGAGGCAAUCACACUCCUUGAUGAGGCGUAUUAGGUGCUGUAUGACAAGUAAGAUCUCAUCAUGCUGUAUAAUGCAAUCUGUAAUGAUGUCACACAACUUCAAGAGGACUUGAUGACCUGGAUGCAUCAACGGCCAGGACAGAUGCAGCUUGAGAACAAGUCAUCUGAGGAAGAGGAGAAGGAACUGGGGUGCCUGGUAAGGAAACAAGGUCUGAGAGCAGGAGGACAUAACUGCAGCUUCAACUGAAUAACUGGAGGAAACGGCGGAGCCCAUAAGACUGCCUGGCAAUGCUGCGUGUUAACAGAGCAUGGAAAUCCCGUGGCGAAUCACCCAGUGCUACUGACCUCUUGGGUGAAAGGUACGCUCAGGAGAUGGAGCCAAAAAGAAGAGCAUCCAAACUUACUCCUUGGAAUUGAUCACGAGAAGCUGGCCUGGUCUUCCAGGUAAAGAUGGUG